rnacentral:rRNA from 1 species
UCGUGGCCGCCGGGGGCUCUCAGCCCCGGGCCCGCGCCCGCCGGAGACACCACGAACUCUGUCUGAUCUAGUGAAGUCUGAGUUGAUUGUAUCGCAAUCAGUUAAAACUUUCAACAAUGGAUCUCUUGGUUCCGGCAUCGAUGAAGAACGCAGCGAAAUGCGAUAACUAGUGUGAAUUGCAGAAUUCCGUGAAUCAUCGAGUCUUUGAACGCACAUUGCGCCCCCUGGUAUUCCGGGGGGCAUGCCUGUCCGAGCGUCAUUGCUGCCCAUCAAGCACGGCUUGUGUGUUGGGUCGUCGUCCCCUCUCCGGGGGGGACGGGCCCCAAAGGCAGCGGCGGCACCGCGUCCGAUCCUCGAGCGUAUGGGGCUUUGUCACCCGCCUCUGUGGGCCCGGCCGGCGCUUGCCGAACGCAAAUCAAUCUUUUUCCAGGUUGACCUCGGAUCAGGUAGGGAUACCCGCUGAACUUAAGCAUAUCAAUAAGCGGAGGAA